AGUGAACGCUGGCGGUAGGCCUAACACAUGCAAGUCGAACGGCAGCACAGAGGAGCUUGCUCCUUGGGUGGCGAGUGGCGGACGGGUGAGGAAUACAUCGGAAUCUACUCUGUCGUGGGGGAUAACGUAGGGAAACUUACGCUAAUACCGCAUACGACCUACGGGUGAAAGCAGGGGAUCUUCGGACCUUGCGCGAUUGAAUGAGCCGAUGUCGGAUUAGCUAGUUGGCGGGGUAAAGGCCCACCAAGGCGCCGAUCCGUAGCUGGUCUGAGAGGAUGAGCAGCCACACUGGAACUGAGACACGGUCCAGACACCUACGGGAGGAAGCAGUGGGGAAUAUGGGGCAAUGGGAGCAAGCCUGAUCCAGCCAUACCGCGUGGGGGAAGAAGGCCUUCGGGUUGUAAAGCCCUUUUGUUGGGAAAGAAAUCCAUGUGGUUAAUACCCGGGUGGGAUGACGGUACCCAAAGAAUAAGCACCGGCUAACUUCGUGCCAGCCGCCGCAGUAA
rnacentral:rRNA from 1 species